rnacentral:rRNA from 1 species
AGGGUUUGAUCAUGGCUCAGAUUGAACGCUGGCGGAAUGCUUUACACAUGCAAGUCGAACGGCAGCACGGGUGCUUGCACCUGGUGGCGAGUGGCGAACGGGUGAGUAACAUAUCGGAACGUACCCAGUAAUGGGGGAUAACUAACCGAAAGGUUAGCUAAUACCGCAUACGCCCUGAGGGGGAAAGCGGGGGAUCGAAAGACCUCGCGUUAUUGGAGCGGCCGAUAUCUGAUUAGCUAGUUGGUGAGGUAAAGGCCCACCAAGGCGACGAUCAGUAGCUGGUCUGAGAGGACGACCAGCCACACUGGAACUGAGACACGGUCCAGACUCCUACGGGAGGCAGCAGUGGGGAAUUUUGGACAAUGGGCGAAAGCCUGAUCCAGCCAUUCCGCGUGAGUGAAGAAGGCCUUCGGGUUGUAAAGCUCUUUCGCAAGGGAAGAAAGAUUACUCUCUAACAUAGAGUGAUUAUGACGGUACCUUGAUAAGAAGCACCGGCUAACUACGUGCCAGCAGCCGCGGUAAUACGUAGGGUGCGAGCGUUAAUCGGAAUUACUGGGCGUAAAGCG